UUUGAUUGGUCCUGACAUGGACCAACUGGAGGGUGCUGCCCCUUGCCAGGAGCCGAUCCACCGCCCAUGGGCCGAGCUUUGCCGUUUCCUCUCUCCCACACGUCGUCCCCACCCCCCUCCCCCCGAUCCAACGCCGCCACCGUGCACUCCCGUCCCUGGCUCCGACGACACACCGGCAAGCACCCCCUCCAGCAAGACUGCCACUUCUCCCCCCUCCCCGGCGCCGAACUUCCGUCGAGGCGCUCGUCGCCGCGCCUCCCGCCCCCGUUGCAGAGGGCCCCGAGGAGCAGCCGCUGCGCCAUUCUAGGCAACGGCGCGCAGCUUCGACUCGUGGUGGCGGCUGCACGCUGCGGUAUCCAGGGGCGCGCGCGGCGAUUGCGGUGCUCCAAGCCUCGCGACGGCCAGCAGUGCCAGCGGCUCGCGGCCUCGACGGCGCCCUUACCUGUGGCGGGGCAUGACGGCAGCAGCACGGACGUUGUAGCGUCAUCGCAGCAUGAUCACCACCACCUUUAGGUGAACCUCGUAUUUUCUGAAGGUAUAAUCAAACCGAUAUUGUUGAGAGGGAGCUCCAAACUACAACCAGGGUUAACUGCUGAGAAUGGAUACUGACAACAUGUCUUAUUAGGAGGAAUACAUUGAGGAUGAAGAAGUGGUACGAUGAAGUGUGAGUAUCAAUAUCAUGUGUGCUGCAUUCAGGAGUGGCCAAGACGGAAGAACUGGUGUCCGAUAUGCAAAGUUUCAGCAAUAUGUUCAUACAAUGACAAGGGGAAGAUAAGAGAUUAAGAUUCUCUACCAGUUACUGAAAAUGUGUUAUGUUUGAUGAUUGUAAAAUUUGUGUGCACAAGUGGUAAAUGUGGUCCUUGUAAGUAGAAAAAUCUUGUACCGCGAAAGGUGGUAUUUUUCCUUCUUCUCUUCUGGUAUCAUAAAUUGUGUUGUGCCGCUCUCAUAACUCAAAUUCCUGUCAGUACAGCUGAAGAAAAACAUGAUCAUACUGAUGGGUGGAGGUUGAAUCGUUA